GCUAGGGUUAGCUUUAGGUUUAAGAGCUAGGGUUAGUUUUAGGGUUAGGAGCCAGGGUUAGGUGCUAGGGUUAAGAACUAGGUUUAGGGUUAAGAGCUAGGGUUAGUUUUAAGGUUAGAAGCCAGGGUUAGGUGGUAGGGUUAAGAGCUAGGCUUAGGUUUAGGGUUAAGAGCUUGGGUUAGGUUUAGGAUUAGGUGCUAGGGUUAGGUUUAAGGUUAGGUUUAGGGUUAGUAGUGAGAGUUAGGAACCAGGGUUAGGUUUAGGGUUAGGUGCUAGGGUUAGGUGCUAGGGUUAGGUUUAGGGUUAAGAGCUAGGUUAGGUUUAGGGUUAGGUGCUAGGGUUAGGUUUAGGGUUAGGAGCUAGGGUUAGGUUUAGGGUUAGGUGC
ensembl:lncRNA